GACGAACGCUGGCGGCGUGCUUAACACAUGCAAGUCGAACGGAAAGGCCCUGCUCUUGUGGGGUGCUCGAGUGGCGAACGGGUGAGUAACACGUGAGUAACCUGCCCUUGACUUUGGGAUAACUUCAGGAAACUGGGGCUAAUACCGGAUAGGAGAUCCUGCUGCAUGGGGGGGGUUGGAAAGUUUCGGCGGUUGGGGAUGGACUCGCGGCUUAUCAGCUUGUUGGUGGGGUAGUGGCUUACCAAGGCUUUGACGGGUAGCCGGCCUGAGAGGGUGACCGGCCACAUUGGGACUGAGGUACGGCCCAGACUCCUACGGGAGGCAGCAGUGGGGAUUAUUGCACGAUGGGCGGAGGCCGGAUGCAGCAACGCCGCGUGCGGGAUGACGGCCUUCGGGUUGUAAACCGCUUUCGCCUGUGACGAAGCGUGAGUGACGGUAAUGGGUAAAGAAGCACCGGCUAACUACGUG
rnacentral:rRNA from 1 species